rnacentral:lncRNA from 1 species
AGACGACAAACAAGUGAAAAAAACUCUUGAUUCUUUUACGAAUCUCCUGAUUUUGGAAGGAUUUGGCGAAUCCCUUUCUACCUCGUUGCUUUGGAUGUACUGCUCAGCAGUGUCCGGAUGUCAGACUCUGGAAGGAAUUUCUCCCUGGUGGUAGCAGCUAUUUCUGUUCCGAGGAACGCUGAGCACUUUCCAGAUCUUUCUGAGGUCCUUUGCAUCAUCUGACAUUUCUGCAGGCAGUGGUUGCUCAGUGCUGAAUUUGAUGGCAAACUGCAGCUGUGAAGUUACAGGAGACAAGAGAACUUCUCUAUUAGUCG